rnacentral:lncRNA from 1 species
UUGGUGAAGCUUUUGUGUCAAGCUUUGUUGGGUACCAUGAAUUGAUUUUGCUUCACACUAUUUUGAUCAAGAUAGUGUGAAGCUUUUGAGAAUUUGUAGUUGUCAUCCAUUGAUGAAGCUUUGUUGAAUUUCCCAAUUGCUUUUUUUUUUUGGGAAAUUUUGGGGAAAAUUAGAAAUUUGAAAAUGUGGGAGAGACAACAUAUACAAAUUUUGCUUCCACACUGUUAGCAAGAGAUUGUGAUGCAAGCCACACCUUGUAGUAGUCGAAGGUUUGGACUUACCAUAUAAAUUGAAUUUGCUUUGAACAGUCUUGAUCAAGAGUGUGUGAAGCUUUCUACGAGUUGUAGUUGCCCUUCAUUAAUGAAGCUUUUGUUGGCACCAUAAAUUGGUUUUGCUUCACACUGUCUUGAUCAAGAGUGUGUGAAGCUUUUGAGAAUUGUGGUUGCCCUCUAUUGAUGAAGCUCUUGUUGGCACCAUAAAUUGGUUUUGCUUCACACUGUCUUGAUCAAGAGUGUGUGAAGCUUUUGAGAAUUGUGGUUGCCUUCCAUUGAUGAAGCUUUUGUUGGCACCAUAAAUUGGUUUUGCUUCACACUGUCUUGAUCAAGAGUGUGUGAAGCUUUCUACGAGUUGUAGUGUUUGCAUUGUUAUAGAGGAGAAAUGUCUGAAGCAGAUGCAAGAGGGCUUAAUAGCUUGAUCUUUGUAUGCCAUGCACUAAAGUUGUUGUUGGCUU